CCGUAGUGCAACGGUUCAGCCACGCGCUCCCGGAAAGAGUGAAAUCUGGGUUCAAGUCCCAGCAUGACGC